rnacentral:rRNA from 1 species
UUUCUCAAUGGGGGAAACCCUGAAGGAGCGACGCCGCGUGGGGGAUGAAUGGCUUCGGCCCGUAAACCCCUGUCAUUUGCGAUCAAACCUUACGACCUAAUACGUCGUAAGCUGAUAGUAGCGGAAGAGGAAGGGACGGCUAACUCUGUGCCAGCAGCCGCGGUAAUACAGAGGUCCCAAGCGUUGUUCGGAUUCACUGGGCGUAAAGGGUGCGUAGGCGGUCGGGUAAGUCUGACGUGAAAUCUUCAAGCUCAACUUGGAAAACUGCGUCGGAUAACUACUCGGCUCGAGGAAUGGAGGGGAGACUGGAAAUACUUGGUGUAGCAGUGAAAUGCGUAGAUAUCAGGUGGAACACAAGUGGCGAAGGCGAGUCUCUGGACAUUUCGUGACGCUGAGGCACGAAAGCCAGGGGAGCAGACGGGAUUAUAUACCCCGGUAGUCCUGGCCCUAAACGGUGCACGCUUUGCUGUAAGAGGAAUCGACCCCUUUAUGUGGCGAACUAAGCGCGUUAAACGUGCCGCCUGGGAAGUACGGCCGCAAGUUAAAACUCAAAGAAAAUUCGACGGGGGCCUGCACAAGCGGUGGAGUAUGUGGCUUAAUUCGAUGCAACGCGAAAGAACCUUACCUGGCCCUUGACAUGCAACAUAGUAGAAGGGUGAAAGCCUGACGAGGUAGCAAUACCAGUGUGCACAGGUGCUGCAUGGCUGUCGUCAGCUCGUGUCGUGAGAUGUUGGGUUAAGUCCCGCAACGAGCGCAACCCCUGUGUCCUGUUGCCAACCCCUGAACCGGGAGCACUCCUGGACAGACUGCCUCGCAUCAACGAGGAGGAAGGUGGGGAUGACGUCAAGUCAGUAUGGCCCUUACGGCCAGGGCUGCACACGUACUACAAUGCCCGGCACAAAGGGAAGCAAGACCGUCAGGUGGAGCAAAUCCCACAAAACCGGGCCCAGUUCAGAUUGUCGUCUGCAACUCGACGGCAUGAAGCUGGAAUCGCU